UACGAAGGGGGCUAGCGUUGCUCGGAAUGACUGGGCGUAAAGGGCGCGUAGGCGGAUUGUACAGUCAGGCGUGAAAUUCCCGGGCUCAACCUGGGGGCUGCGCUUGAGACGUGCGAUCUUGAGUGGGGAAGAGGGUCGUGGAAUUCCCAGUGUAGAGGUGAAAUUCGUAGAUAUUGGGAAGAACACCGGUGGCGAAGGCGGCGACCUGGUCCUUGACUGACGCUGAGGCGCGAAAGCGUGGGGGAGCAAACAGG
rnacentral:rRNA from 1 species